GAUGAACGCUGGCGGCGUGCCUAAUACAUGCAAGUCGAGCGAACGGACGAGAAGCUUGCUUCUCUGCUGUUAGCGGCGGACGGGUGAGUAAACCUUGGCUAACCUACCUAUAAGACUGGGAUAACUUCGGGAAACCGGAGCUAAUACCGGAUCAUAUUUGGCACCACUUGGUUCAAAAGAGCCAGACGCUCUUGCUGUCACUUAUCGAUGAAUCCGCGCUGCAUUAGCUAGUUGGUAAGGUAACGGCUUACCAAGGCAACGAUGCAUAGCCGGCCUGACAGGGGGAUCGGCCACACUGGAACGGAGACGGGGACCAGACUCCGAGGGGAGGCAGCAGGAGGGAAACUGGCGCAAUGGGCGAAAGCCUGACGGAGAAACGGCGCGAGAGAGAUGAAGUGCUGCGGAUCGUAAAACGCGGUGAAUAGGGAAGAACAGAUGUGGAAGGAACUGUGCACAUCGAGGCGGUACCUAAGCAGAAAGCCACGGCUAACUACGUG
rnacentral:rRNA from 1 species